rnacentral:tRNA from 1 species
UCCUUGGUGGUCCAGUGGCUGGGACUCUGUACUCCCAAGGUGGGGGCCCAGGUUCAAUCCCUGGUCAGGGAA